CCUACGGGCGGCAGCAGUGGGGAAUAUUGCGCAAUGGGCGAAAGCCUGACGCAGCGACGCCGCGUGAGGGAUGAAGGUCUUCGGAUUGUAAACCACUGUCCCCAGGGACGAAGAUGACGGUACCUGGGGAGGAAGCUCCGGCUAACUACGUGCCAGCAGCCGCGGUAAUACGUAGGGAGCGAGCGUUGUCCGGAAUUACUGGGUGUAAAGGGAGCGUAGGCGGGGAUGCAAGUUGGGUGUCAAAACUACCGGCUCAACUGGUAGUCGCACUCAAAACUGCAGCUCUUGAGUGAAGUAGAGGCAGGCGGAAGUCCUAGUGUAGCGGUGAAAUGCGUAGAUAUUAGGAGGAACACCAGUGGCGAAGGCGGCCUGCUGGGCUUUUACUGACGCUGAGGCUCGAAAGUGUGGGGAGCAAACAGGAUUAGAUACCCUUGUAGUC
rnacentral:rRNA from 1 species